GAAAAACAGAGGAAAACCAACACGACAGAAUACUUAUAAUGGAUCAAAUGUUUAUAACUACAUAAGUAUGCGUAUAAGGGCGAAAAGCCAGAAAGAUCAGGAAUCUAAUAGCGAUACAUGGGCGAUCAGUCAUUCUGCUUGUGAUGGAAUGUGUAUUGGGAAUGUAUACUGCGAAGUUAUUAUCUUGACAUGGGAAACAUGAAGGGUAUUUCGCGGAAGUCUCGAAAUCUAUACUUUCAUAACAGAAAUGAUGGUAUAUACGAGUAUACCAACACAAUUGAUUCCGAAAGCAACACGUAUUACGAU